rnacentral:rRNA from 1 species
UACGAAGGGUGCAAGCGUUACUCGGAAUUACUGGGCGUAAAGCGUGCGUAGGCGGUUUGUUAAGUCCGUUGUGAAAGCCCUGGGCUCAACCUGGGAAUUGCAGUGGAUACUGGCGAGCUAGAGUGCGGUAGAGGAUGGUGGAAUUCCCGGUGUAGCGGUGAAAUGCGUAGAGAUCGGGAGGAACACCCGUGGCGAAGGCGGCACUCUGGACCAGC